rnacentral:rRNA from 1 species
AAUUAAGCUACUAAGGGCGUACGGUGGAUGCCUUGGCGCCAAGAGCCGAUGAAGGGCGUGGUACACUGCGAUAAGCCCCGGGGAGCCGUGUGCAGGCGCUAUAUCCGGGGAUACCCGAAUGGGGAAACCCGCCUGGGGGAAUGCCCAGGCACCGCUGGCUGAACACAUAGGCCAGCCGGAGGGCACGCGGGGAACUGAAACAUCUUAGUACCCGCAGGAAGAGAAAUCAAAACGAGAUUCCCUAAGUAGUGGCGAGCGAACGGGGAAGAGCCCAAACUCAUCUCGUGUUAAAGGCUGCAACCGUUGCGAGAUGGGGGUUGUAAGGCACGGCCGGGAUCGCUGCAGAGGUCCCAGGGAGUUACAAAUCUGGCCACUAGUCGAACCGCGCUGGAAAGGCGGGGCAUAGAGGGUGAUACCCCCGUAGGCGAAAGAGGACCAGACUCCCGCCGUUGACCUUGAGUACCACGGGGCACGCUAAUCCUGUGGGAAGCAGGGAGGUCCACCUCCCAAGGCUAAAUACUCUUGGCGACCGAUAGUGGACAAGUACCGUGAGGGAAAGGUGAAAAGAACGGCUGUUAGCCGAGUGAAAUAGAACCUGAAACCGUAUGCCUACAAGCAGUGGAAGCACUAUGCCGACUGAAAAUCCCAACGAUAAACCAAUGAUCCAACCCGAUGGCUUCGCCUUGGGAUUUGGGAUUUGGUUUGUUGGGAUUGGUCGGAAUGUGUGACCGCGUGCCUUUUGGAGAAUGAACCGGCGAGUUACUCUCUGUCGCAAGGUUAAGGGAGGUACACCCGGAGCCGUAGCGAAAGCGAGUCUGAAAAGGGCGUAUUAGUGGCAGGGAGUAGACACGAAACCAGGUGAGCUACCCAUGGCCAGGGUGAAACGAGAUUAAUCUCUCGUGGAGGCCCGAACCUUUCUCUGUUGCAAAAGGGUGGGAUGAGCUGUGGGUAGAGGUGAUAUGCCAAACGAACUUGGAGAUAGCUUGUUCUCCCCGAAAUAGCUUUAGGGCUAGCCUCAGGCGUUCAGUGGCGGAGGUAGAGCACUGGAUGGGCUAGGGGGCUUAUCGCUUACCAAACCCAACCAAACUCCGAAUGCCGUCACUUUAUAGCCUGGGAGUCGGACUACGGGAGAUGAGUUUCGUGGUCGAGAGGGAAAGAGCCCAGACCGCCGGCUAAGGUCCUCAAGUUUAGGCUAAGUGGGAAAGGAUGUGGGAUUACUGGGACAGCCAGGAGGUUGGCUUAGAAGCAGCCAUCCUUUAAAGAGUGCGUAAUAGCUCACUGGUCAAGUGAUCCUGCGCCGAAAAUGUAACGGGGCUCAAGCCUAACACCGAAGCCGCGGGGCGUCGCUUAAGCGACGUUGGUAGGGGAGCGUUCUGCCCAGCGUAGAAGCUCGACCGAAAGGACGGGUGGAGCGGGCAGAAGUGAGAAUGCCGGUAUGAGUAGCGUAAAACGUGUGAGAAACACGUUCGCCGUAAGUCUAAGGUUUCCAACGGAAGGUUAAUCCGCGUUGGGUUAGUCGGGCCUAAGUCGAGGCCGUAAGGCGUAGGCGAUGGACAACAGGUUAAUAUUCCUGUACCACGUUGGAUCGAUAAAGACGCGAUGGGGGGACGCAGGAGGGUAGACCAGCCGGUUAUUGGAUUCCGGUGCUAAGCCUGUAGGGAGAUGAUGGCCAUAGGCAAAUCCGUGGCCUGAUCCUGAGGGGUGAUGGCGGUGCCUUAGAGCCAGAAGUGGUCAAGCCCAACUGCCGAGAAAAGCCUCUAGCGAGAUCCGCGUGCCCGUACCGCAAACCGACACUGGUAGACGGGUAGAGUAUACCAAGGCGAUCGGGAGAACCCUCGUUAAGGAACUAGGCAAAUUAACCCCGUAACUUCGGGAGAAGGGGUGCCUUCUGGAGUGAAGUAAAUUCUUGCGGAGCUCCGGGAGGUCGCAGUGAAAUGGCCCUACCGACUGGUUAACAAAACCACAGGUCUCUGCUAAAGCGCAAGCUGAAGUAUAGGGGCUGACGCCUGCCCAGUGCCGGAAGGUUAAAGGGAGGGGUUAGCGUAAGCGAAGCCCUGAACUGAAGCCCCGGUGAACGGCGGCCGUAACUAUAGGCUGGACCGCUGUAGUUACGUAAAUAAACCUGGCUAUAUGCUGGAAACCCUGGUGUAUCCUCCGGUACUCGCUCCAACCGGGAGCAGUGACAAUCCGUGAGGUGCGGGCAAUCAGCAGGAAAGACUCCCAAAAGGUGCAUGAUGGCUUUGAAUGUGAAGCAGAUUCCACCUCGCAUCGGUUACUAUCUGGCCGGGUUCGCAGAUGGGGAAGGAAGUUUCAAUGUCUCCUUCCGCCAACGCCACGAUUAUCAGGUUCCGUGGAAGGUUUCCCUCUGUUUCAACGUAUCGCAAAAAGAACGCGUCAUUCUGGCGUUGUUCAAGCGACAUCUAAAGUGCGGCACGUUGCGUGAGAGGGGAGAUGGAGUCUGGUAUUACGAGGUCAAUAAUCUGAACGCUAUCUGCGAACAUGUGAUUCCGUUCUUUGAACGGUUUCGCUUCCUGUCGGCCAAGAAGAAGCGCGAUUUCGCGAAAUUCAAGCAGAUCGCAAAGCUGAUGAGAGAGGGACGCCAUCUUACGGAGGAAGGUAUCCGUGAGAUCCUUCGGCUUCGGGCCGAGAUGAAUGAUGGAGGUGCGGGGCGACGCAAAUACUCAGAUGCUGAGAUUUUGAGUCGUCUUGCCCAGGGAGAAUCCUCAGAGACCAUACGCCAGGCAUCUGCUGAGUGAUGGGAUAGCCGCUGAUUCAGCAAGAUGAUGAGAUGGUCCGAUCUCUGUGGCGACGCAGAGGAUCUGAGCAAAGCUUGGAUCGCACAGACGAGGCAUCAGCCUGUCGGUCAGUGUAACAUGAAUGAACGGUCCUAAGGUGGCAAUCGCUGCCUGCCUCGGCGGUAACGUCGGGGGCAAUACCUGGCUGUAUGCGGGAACACCCUUAGAGCCCGUCCUACUCGAGAGAUAGCUUCUCUCAGUAAAAAUGGCCGGGAUUGGGCAAUCCGCAGGAAACUCUCACGGGAGAGGAUCCUCAGAGACUAUACGCUAGGUGUCCAAAUGAAGUGGAGGAGGUCAAUGGAUCUCAGUCCCGACUGGGUGGUCGGGUUUAAGGAUUGUCGAGGUAACGCUUUCGAUGAGCCGUGCGAACAAGGUCAAGGCGCAAGAGAUCCUAGGCCUGCUACGACAACAGUAUGGACAAAGAGAUAGUCCACCCCAGUCAGAAAUGUCUGGAUGAGAGGUGAGCGAAAUUCCUUGUCGGGUAAGUUCCGACCUGCACGAAUGGCGUAACGAGUGGGGCACUGUCUCAACGAGGGACCCGGCGAAAUUGAAAUAGGUGUGAAGAUGCAUCUUACCCGCAGCAGGACAAAAAGACCCCGUGGAGCUUUACUGCAACUUGGCAUUGAGUUAGGGUUUAAUCUGUGUAGGAUAGGUGGGAGGCUGUGAAGCUGGGGCGCCAGCCUCGGUGGAGCCAACCUUGAAAUACCACCCUGAUUAAAUCUUGACCCUAACGGGCGACCGUUAUCCGGCGUCCGGACAGUGCCAGGCGGGCAGUUUGACUGGGGCGGUCGCCUCAAAUGUGGGGCGCCCUGGCGGCAACGUCAGGGGCAAAUCUGGCUGUAUGCUGGGAAAUCCGUCCUCCAGGCAUCAUCCGUACCGUUACCGAUGAUGACCAAGGAGGUGUAGAAUCUGGCGCUACCCGAUGGGUGAAAAAGCGGCCAGCGCGGAUUAUCAGCAGGGAAGUCUUCUUAUGGAAGACCCCUCAACGACUGUACGCCAGACAUCCCUCUGGGAUGGUGAUAUAGUCUGAACUUCCAGGCGACUGGAAGCCGGGACAACCCGGGGUCUGGCUGUGCUCGGGAGUAUCAUGAGGUCAAGAGAGAUCGAAGAAUACAAAAGAGGCUUGAGACUCACCAGAGAGCAAAGAGAAGUUCUGAUUGGGUUAAUGUUGGGUGAUGCUCACCUUGAGACCCAGAAUAAUGGCCGUACUUACCGUCUCAAAGUGGAACAAAGCGAAGCCCACCUGGCCUAUAUCAGACAUCUCUAUCAACUGUUCGCUGAAUGGGUGCGAACCCCACCCCAGGCCAAGUUGGUGAGGAGCCGAGGGCAUGUAAGUCGAAACUGGUGGUUUCAGACGUUAAGUCAUAGCGCCUUUCGUUUUUAUGCCCACCAGUUUUAUCGGGAUGGACGGAAGUGCGUACCACGACUGAUCCACCGCUGGCUGACGCCCCGUGCUCUAGCCUACUGGUUUAUGGACGAUGGGUCGGUUAAAUCAGCACAAUCAAAAGGAGUGCUGAUCAACACCCAGGCUUUCAGCUUAGGUGAGGUGCAGCGCCUUUGUCAGGUGCUGCAAGAGCGGUUUGACCUUAAGACGCAGCCUCGGAAGCAACGGGAAGGUUAUCAGGUCUACAUUUCAGGAGAAUCAUAUGAAGUAUUCCGUGACCUGAUCGAACCUUACCUUAUUCCAGAAAUGCGGCAUAAACUCCCGCCCGCCAGACAAACAUAAUUGCCUAAAAGGUAACGGAGGCGCCCAAAGGUUCCCUCAGGCUGAAUGGAAACCAGCCAGAGAGUGUAAAGGCAUAAGGGAGCUUGACUGCAAGACCUACAAGUCGAGCAGAGACGAAAGUCGGGCUUAGUGAUCCCACGGUUCCGAGUGGAAGGGCCGUGGCUUACCGGAUAAAAGCUACCCCGGGGAUAACAGGCUGGUGAGGCCCAAGAGUUCACAUCGACGGCCUCGCUCGGCACCUCGAUGUCGGCUCAUCGCAUCCUGGGGCUGAAUAAGGUCCCAAGGGUUGGGCUGUUCGCCCAUUAAAGCGGUACGCGAGCUGGGUUCAGACCGUCGUGAGACAGGUCGGUCUCUAUCCGCUGUGGGCGUAGGGGACUUGAGGGGAGCUGCCCUUAGUACGAGAGGACCAGGGUGGACGGACCGCUAGUGUGCCAGUUGUCACGCCAGUGGCAUUGCUGGGUAGCUAACGUCUGGCAGAGAUAACCGCUGAAAGCAUCUAAGUGGGAAACUCGCCCCAAGAUAAGGUCCCCCACCGGGAUAACCGGGUAAGACCGCCGGAAGACUACCGGUUUGAUAGGCCGCGGGUGUAAGCACAGUAAUGUGUUUAGCUGAGCGGUACUAACGGUCGAGGGCUUAAUUCA